rnacentral:rRNA from 1 species
UACGUAGGGGGCGAGCGUUAUCCGGAAUUAUUGGGCGUAAAGGGUUCGCAGGUGGCCUGAUAAGUCAGAUGUGAAAGGCAGUGGCUCAACCAUUGCAAGCAUUUGAAACUGUCAGGCUUGAGUACAGGAGAGGAAAGCGGAAUUCCUAGUGUAGCGGUGAAAUGCGUAGAUAUUAGGAGGAACACCAGUGGCGAAGGCGGCUUUCUGGACUGAAACUGACACUGAGGAACGAAAGCGUGGGGAGCAAACAGG